AAAGUUAUAAACUUGAAUUGAUAAGACAUGUGGUUUAUGUUUCAAAGGGGUGAAAUUUAACUCUAGGUACGUAUUACUCUCCCGUUUAUGGAUGAAUGAUAGAUGACUUCCUGAGCCAUGAUUAUUUUUCUCUACAAAGAGCAGUGAUCUCUCUACCUGCUAAGAAUGGUGACUCUUUGUUAGCUGAUGAAGGCAGUGACUUUGAAGACAGCUUGAAUCGCAAUGUGAAGAAGAGAGCAGCAAAACGACCACCGAAAACAACGCCGGUGGCAAAACAUCCAAAGAAAGGGUACCGAGUGGUACAUCGUCAUAGCCGGAAAAAGUCAGAGCCACCAGCCAAUGAUCUUUUCAAUGCUGUGAAAGCCGCCAAAAGUGACAUGCAGCUAUGAAACUGAUGACUUCCCUGGUAAAAGUUGCCCUCCAACUGAGUCUGCACCAAGAUAACAAUCAGCGUCAGUAUGAGGCUGAAAGAAACAAGGGGCCAGGGCAGAGGGCACCUGAGCGGCUGGAGAGCCUGUUGGAGAAACGCAAAGAG
rnacentral:sRNA from 1 species